rnacentral:sRNA from 1 species
GAUACACCAGCACCUGUGAAAAAUGUAAUACGAUUCGGACUAUCUAUAAUAUGUUUUAAUGUCUCUAAAUCAUUUCUCAAAAUAAACACCCCAUCAAAAUAAUGAAUGAUUUAUAACGUCUUUUGCUUUUAUUAUAGUAUAUUCAUUUUACGAUUAUCAAAAGCGCAGUUUAAACAGUUCUUUUUAAAAAUGAAUUAUACAUAUAAUCGAACAGUUAAAUUAUAUUAGUUUUUACGCAAUUUUUAUUAUAGAAUAAGCAUGUAUAUUAAAAUUGAUGUCUAAACAUA